GACGAACGCUGGCGGCGUGCUUAACACAUGCAAGUCGAACGGAAAGGCCCUGCUUUUGUGGGGAGCUCGAGUGGCGAACGGGUGAGUAACACGUGAGUAACCUGCCCUUGACUUUGGGAUAACUUCAGGAAACUGGGGCUAAUACCGGAUAGGAGCUCCUGCUGCAUGGUGGGGGUUGGAAAGUUUCGGCGGUUGGGGAUGGACUCGCGGCUUAUCAGCUUGUUGGUGGGGUAGUGGCUUACCCAGGCUUUGACGGGUAGCCGGCCUGAGAGGGUGACCGGCCACAUUGGGACUGAGAUACGGCCCAGACUCCUACGGGAGGCAGAAGUGGGGAAUAUUGCACAAUGGGCGGAAGCCUGAUGCAGCAACGCCGCGUGCGGGAUGACGGCCUUCGGGUUGUAAACCGCUUUCGCCUGUGACGAAGCGUGAGUGACGGUAAUGGGUAAAGAAGCACCGGCUAACUACGUG
rnacentral:rRNA from 1 species